rnacentral:rRNA from 1 species
GUCCACGCUGUAAACGAUGAGUGCUAAGUGUUAGAGGGUUUCCGCCCUUUAGUGCUGCAGCUAACGCAUUAAGCACUCCGCCUGGGGAGUACGGCCGCAAGGCUGAAACUCAAAGGAAUUGACGGGGGACCCGCACAAGCGGUGGAGCAUGUGGUUUAAUUCGAAGCAACGCGAAGAACCUUACCAGGUCUUGACAUCCUCUGACACUCCUAGAGAUAGGACGUUCCCCUUGGGGGACAGAGUGACAGGUGGUGCAUGGUUGUCGU